rnacentral:rRNA from 1 species
UACGGAGGGUGCAAGCGUUAGUCGGAAUUACUGGGCGUAAAGCGUGCGCAGGCGGUUUGUUAAGUCCGUUGUGAAAGCCCCGAGCUCAACUUGGGAAUUGCAGUGGAUACUGGCAGGCUGGAGUACGGUAGAGGAAGGUGGAAUUCCCGGUGUAGCAGUGAAAUGCGUAGAUAUCGGGAGGAACACCAGUGGCGAAGGCGGCCUUCUGGACCAGUACUGACGCUCAUGCACGAAAGCGUGGGGAGCAAACAGG